ACCAAACGGAAGGUACCUAAAGUCAUUGCCAUUGGCCUCAACCUUAGCCUCCUCUUCCAAGAACCUCUCGGGCCUGAACUCUUCUGGGUUCUUCCAGUUGUCAGGGUUGUUUGCAAGCCACCACGCGUUUACCAAGAUUUUGCUCUCAGCAGGGAUGUCAUAGCCAGAGAGCUUUGCAUCGUGGAGGUUCAUGUGGGGGACUAAGAGGGGAA
rnacentral:misc_RNA from 1 species